CACUGUUUAAUGGCCGCGGUACCCUGACCGUGCAAAGGUAGCAUAAUCAUUUGCCUUUUAAUUGGAGGCUAGUAUGAAUGGAUAUACGAGAGUAAAGUUGUCUCAUUUUUAACCAUAAAAAUUAACCUUUGGGUGAAGAGGCCCAAAUCUAUAAAAAAGACGAAAAGACCCUAUGGAGCUUUACUGCUACAAUGUUAACUAUAAUAUACUACACCUUAAAACCAGUUUAGUUGGGGCGACUAAGGAACACUAUAAAACUUCCUGCCCUCAAAAGAAAAUAAUUCCCCCUAAGAUCCACCCAAGUGAAUAAAAAAUCAGCUACCCUAGGGAUAACAGACUAAUUUUCCUCUAGAGCCCAAAUUGACAGGAAAGAUUGGCACCUCGAUGUUGGCUUAAGACUCCCCCAAAAUGCAGAAGUUUUGCUGGUAGGUUUGUUCAACCUU
rnacentral:rRNA from 1 species